GAUAUUCUUGUACAAACUAAGAGUGAGGAUGGAACUGAAACUGUUCUUUGAGAUGCUGUUAAUCUUGCUCAUUACAUUCACCCAAAGUGGACAAACUCGAGAUGCUGUGUUGACUGUUGAACCCAAAUGGUCAACUUUUUAUACUGGAGAAUCUUUAACUUUCUAUUGUGACAUGAAUGAAGGAAGAACUGAUGACUGGAGAUACACAUUAAACAGAAGUGAUUGGACACCUAAAUCAAACG